rnacentral:lncRNA from 1 species
GGAAGCGAUUGAUGCGACAUCUACACAAAGGAUGUGGAGGAUCUCAGAAUUAGAUCGGGAGCUCGUAUAAAAGGAAAGAACACGAUUAACACACCGCCGAUCCAAUAUUAGACGAUAAAUUAGACACAAACAAAAGGAUCAAAGCUACGCAAUCUAUACCUGCUGGAGAGAGGUUGAGAUCGAGAUCGAGAUCGAGAUCGAGAUCGAGAGGGGCGAUUUCCCCAAGCUCUUUACAGAGGGGAGGAGAAGAGAGGGACAGAGAGGGGAGUAGGAAGAGGAGACGAUGAUUCGAGAGGGCGCGUACCCUAGCGAGCC